GGAUUAAACUCCACAACAAUCUUGUGAGGCAGGAAUGGAAAACUAUGAUUCCCACUUCAGAGUGAGGAUUCCGAAUGACAGCAAGGUUUGGAGCAUGUGACAGACCCACAAUCUAUUUUCAAGAAGACCGAUUUGCAUGCAAGGCCAAUGCUCCAUCCACCACAUCAAUCUGCCUCAUCCUCUGUUUUGCUUCCUGCAUCUGAUGCUAUCUGACAAUGAAGAAGAAGCUCUUUUAAUGCGAAUGGCUGCCAAUUAAA